rnacentral:rRNA from 1 species
CCUACGGGAGGCAGCAGUGAGGAAUAUUGGUCAAUGGCCGCAAGGCUGAACCAGCCAAGUCGCGUGAAGGAUGACGGCCCUAUGGGUUGUAAACUUCUUUUGUCUGGGAACAAAGUGCUCCACGUGUGGCGUUUUGCAUGUACCUUAAGAAUAAGCAUCGGCUAACUCCGUGCCAGCAGCCGCGGUAAUACGGAGGAUGCGAGCGUUAUCCGGAUUUAUUGGGUUUAAAGGGAGCGUGGGCGGAAGAUUAAGUCAGUGUGAAAAUUGAGAGGCUCAACCUAUACGUGCAGUUGAAACUGGUUGUCUUGAGUGAGUUAGAGGUAGGCGGAAUGCGUGGUGUAGCGGUGAAAUGCAUAGAUAUCACGCAGAACUCCGAUUGCGAAGGCAGCAUACCGGCGCUCAACUGACGCUCAUGCACGAAAGUGUGGGUAUCGAACAGGAUUAGAUACCCUUGUAGUC